UACGGAGGGGGCUAGCGUUGUUCGGAAUUACUGGGCGUAAAGCGCACGUAGGCGGCUUUGUAAGUUAGAGGUGAAAGCCCGGGGCUCAACCUGGGAAUUGCAGUGGAUACUGGCGAGCUAGAGUGCGGUAGAGGAUGGUGGAAUUCCCGGUGUAGCGGUGAAAUGCGUAGAGAUCGGGAGGAACACCCAGGGGGAAACCAGUCGACUGGGCAGCACCUGACGCUGAGGUGCGAGAGCGUGGGGAGCGAACCGG
rnacentral:rRNA from 1 species